rnacentral:rRNA from 1 species
GACGAACGCUGGCGGCGUGCUUAACACAUGCAAGUCGAACGAGUGGCGAACGGGUGAGUAAUACGUGGGUAACCUGCCCUCUUUUUGGGAUAAGCCUUGGAAACGGGGUCUAAUACCGAAUAAUGGGGGAUGGGCUCGCGGCCUAUCCGCUUGCUGGUGGGGUGAUGGCCUACCAAGGCGGUGACGGGUAGCCGGCCUGGGAGGGAGACCGGCAACAUUGGGACUGAGAUACGGCCAAGAGUCCUACGGGAGGGAGCAGUGGGGGAAAGUGCACAAUGGGCGAGGGCCUGAGCCAGCGGAGCCGUGAGGGGGAUGGAGGCUUAAGGGUUGUAAACCUCGGAAGAUAACAAACGGGUAGGUGGCCAAGAAGCGCCGGCUAACUACGUGCCAGCAGCCGCGGUAAUUC